GGGUCAGUAGGUUGGUCGUGCCACCGGUACGUACUGGUCUCACUGAUUCCUCCUUCCUGAAGAACCGUAAUGCCAAUAAUGUGGUGUUGCGGGGAAACAGGACUGUUACUUUGAAAAAAUUAGAGUGUUUAAAGCAAGCUAACGCUUGAAUACAUUAGCAUGGAAUAAUGAAAUAGGACGAUCGAUCCUAUUUUGUUGGUUUCUAGGAUUGACGUA
rnacentral:rRNA from 1 species